rnacentral:misc_RNA from 1 species
UUUAUUUAUUUAUUAAAUUUUAACUGAAAUUUAAAUUUAAGACUUUAUUAGCUUUAAAAAUUACUGUAACAGCAUAGGGUCAAAAUGAACAUAUUAAUUACAAUUUAUAAUAUUUUAUUUUUUAAUCAAAAGCCCUUUAGACGGUUGGUCACGGAGAGCAAAACCUGCGAUCAAAUUUGCCGCACAAUUGGGCUUAUCGACAUGAGGAAGAUGACCAGAGUCUGCUACUUGUCGCAUAAUUGCAUUUGGUAGUUCACAAUGUAGCUUCACUGCGAGCUUGUAGUUGACAAUCUGAUCAUUUUCACCACAGAUGAUAAGUGUUCUCUGUUUUACCUGUUUUAUUAGGGAACCAACAUUAUAUCCUCCACUAGACAUAAAACUAACAGUUGCAUCCUUCCACCAUGGCAGCAUACAGUGUAAUCGGCCAACAUUAGUCCAAUCUAAAAUUGUAUGGAAUGAAGUGCCAUUGAAGGCCAAUGCAUUUGCAUAAAGGCGAAGCGGAAUGCUCUUCAACAAAGAAACCCCUGCAUAGGCUAUUACUGGUGGUAACUUUGCUAGGCGUCUUGUGCCUUCAGCAUACGCAUUUGGAUUGAUGAGAAUCAGCUUUUCAACAGCUUCCGGAUAAUUGACCGUAAAAUCCAUUGCAACAGAAGCGCCAAGGCUUGGUCCAACUAAUAUCAUUGGUCUUUUGAUGUAGGACUUCCACAGCUGAUAGAGGUGAUAACGCUUAGAUGCUACAUCACAUGGUGGACGCAUUUCUAUUAAAAGCAACAAUAGUCAUCAUAUUUAAGCAGAUAUUGCUUAGAGGGACAAGAAGUAAAGAAAUUAGGGAUAAGUGAAAAAUUAGUAUAGCAUAAAGGGAUUUGAGGUUUAUGUGUUUAUAACCUAAAUCAGAAAAGCCCCAUCCAAGAACAUCAACAGCCCAAGCCUCCAAACCAGCUUCCUCAAGCAAAGGGUAUGAGCAUCUCCACUCUAAACAGGAGCUGUCAAAGCAAUGAAGCAGGACCACUGGACUCUGUUUGCUUUGUAUUACUGGUUUAAUACAACUACUCAUAAUACAUUUCUCUGGAAAACCCAUCUGGACAGGGAGCCUCUGUAUUCUCUUAGCCAAAGAUCUAGCAAAAGGGUCUUUGAUUUUCUCUACCUCUUUUGGAAGGAAUGAAGGAAACUCACCACCGCUACCAACCACCGACGCCUUAUGACGAUCACUGCCGCCCUUUGCAUUCAUUUUCACUUCCAUUACUACUCCCACACUUGUCGGUAGAGAGCCCAAGUUAAGAGGCAUCAUCAUUUAUGCUCCUCAAAAACAAGAAGAAGAAGAAGAAGAAAUUAGCCAGAAAGAAAACCUGCCGUCAAUGUAGAAGAAGAAGAGUGAACUGGUGGCUACUAGCUAGGCCAAGCUACCGACUCCAACUUAAAAAAUAGCAAUUCCGUUUAAAACAUGUUAAAAAUAGCUGCAACAGCGCAAAGACGGUCACCGUUUCACGCAAGAAGUCCACGCUUUAUCUUCCUUUCCGGAACAAACAACUAAAAGGACAAUAAUUUUCCCUUAAGACAUUUUCACUCUAAAUUGUAGAGAAAGUACGAAAUAAUUGCAUGAGAAGUAUUCUUUUACUUUGAAAUUACAUAUAUA